CUGGGCUCUGUGCGCCUCCGACGGCGGGGCGGCCGCGCUCUCCGCGCUCCUCUUUCCGGCUCGCUCGCCCCCUCGCUCAUCUCCCAGCGCUCUUCCUCUUAAGCACAAAAUCGUAUUCUUCGAGGGAGCCUUUCGAAUGUUGCUGAGAGGGAAAGUGCCAAAGUCCAACUUUGGACGGUCCAGGACCUGACUUAGCCGGGAUGGGAAGAUAACCACAGGUUCUUUUCCUGUUGCUGCCCCCACUUCAGACUGGACGGCAGAACAGAAAAUCGAAACACAUCGUCCCGUCCUAAGAAAGAAAAAGGGGUGAGAGGGGCUAGCUGAAAGAGGCUAAAGUUGUCAGGGAAUGAUCACGAGUUUACUAUUAGGUUUGCAGACUUGUCAAAACUUCCUUCGAGAAUGUAUUCUAUUGGCGAUUCCAGUCUUACUUAAAAUUUUCCUCUUAACCCAAUCUCUACACAUCCUCUUACAGAGAGUGAAAUUAACAGCCGAACUCCCUACCGAAGUUCUAAACCUGCCUUGUCCUUGAAAAGACAUGAGCUGGAGGGAUGAUAGUCUUUACUUUUCCUUUCCUCCUUAGCCUCCCAUCCAAACCAUGUGAGAUUUCUGGCCACAGCUGUCGGGCACCAGCCUCCGCAGUUCCCUACGUCCAAGUAAUGUCAGGGUGCAUCAUUAUCAAAGGCUAUAAAUGCUAGGUCUCCAUUUUGUAAAAAGUAGAAGAACCCUGAGUCACACUCUUGCCUGACAGAAAUCUUUCCUUCCACUUACAUUCCUAUUUUGCCCAGGUGGCAAACGAUAGGUAAGCGUCAGUGUGUGCCUGCUAUAGGAAUAUGAGAGGGAGAAAUGAUUCACGGUUUUGUAUUUCUCAGAAAGUCAGGCAGUUCUGGUCCCUGGUCUACGUGCUGGAGUGAACAGAUUGGUAACCAGGAAAAAGCUGUGGACAAUUCCUUGGAAAAUCAGAGGCUUUCUUUGGGAAUAGGCUUUAAAGCCUGAGUGACCAUUUGCCUAGCUGGCAAACUGGGUGCACCACCCAAAAUCUCUCAAUUACAGAGUCAUUGUUUUCUGAGUGUUGAGAGACCGAGAGAGGGUUGAGUGCUAAAUGUAUUCACAUUCACUUGUUUUGUAAUUUAGAGGAUUUUUUUUUUGCUGGGAGAGGCUGCAGGAUAUAGUGGAAAGAGAAUAUAAUCGGCCUGGAUCCAAACAUAUGUCAAAUAGCUGAGAGGUCCUGAGAAUAUGUUAUGUUCCCUGAAACUCAGCAGCUUUCUUUACUAUAAAAAUCAGCAAUAGUGGCAUAUAUUUUUAAGAUGUUUUAUAAAUUGACACUGAAUGUGCAGUGUUAAGGUUCAAGGAAGACACUGAAUAUACUCUGUUCUGUCAAUAAGAUAACAAACCGUAAGAGUUCUGGGUCUCUAAAAAGUCUGGGGAGAGAAGAAGGCCAAAAACACCAGAAAAGAUUAAAAAUAUUAAACUGGAAAAGAUAGAUUUUGAGUGAAACAGGAUAACACUUGCACCACGUAAGUUUAUCAUUACAUCUCUUAAACCAGUUCUCUUAGUAUUAAUAGACUCUGAGUCAGGGAUGUUGGCUGCUAACUGACUUGUGUGGCUUUGGGCAAGUUGCUUAGCUUUUGUGCCUCUGUUUACUUACAUAUAAAAUAGGGAUAAUAAUACUUGCUACAUUGUGAGAGCAUCGUGAAAAUGCCUAAGGUCUUCAGAUAAAAGGUAGUAUAUGAAUACCACCAGAGUAGUUAUUAUUGGUCUAUAAACCAUGGAUGAAAGAGAUUACUGAGGUACAAAGCACUGUGUUUUAUUAUUGUUAUCAUUUAUUAUAGCUUUUGUCUUUACCGUCGUCACUACUCCUAAAGAUACCUUUCACAGCCAGACUAUUUUGUCAUUGCACCAAGAUAUUGAGCUGAGUCAGUUGCACCCUAAACUGAGUAUGUUUGCAUAUCCUCAGUCUUUAUGUAUAGAGCUCUGACAAAAUAAUUCUUAAAGACCAGGCCCUGUUUUCCAGUCUCAGCACAAUUGACACUUGUGGCUGGAUAAGUCUUUGUUCUGAGGUUUGCCCUGUCCACUGUAGGAUCUUUAGUGGGAUCACUGAUUUGUACCUGAUACUGAAAGCAUCCUCCACCCUCAUUGUAACAUUGCAAAAUGUUUCCCCGGAGGCAGUUGAGAACCUCUGAGUUGGCCUAAAAUUAGUAAUUUUAGUGACCCACUUUGACCUUAAUAGUAAGGAAAAAACAUGACGAUGCUAACAAAUAAAAAGAUUCAUUUUAAGAUUUCAGAAUGAAACUUACUGUAAAUAUUGUCUUCAUUAAUGUUUUCAAACAGUGGAUUAACUAUGAUGUAAAAUACCCCAUUUGUAUGUGUUGAAAUAAUUAAUAAUAUACUGGGAAAUAGGCAUUUUGACUUCAAUACAAGUAUUUCUGGAGCAUAUGCAAUUAAUACUGUUCUAUGCAAUAUUGUACAACAGCAGAGUCAUGGUGUACUAUGAUUAUAUCUAUUCCAUAGCCUUUUUAAAGAACAGCUUUUCCUUGUUUUUCAACUGUCUCCUUUUCUAGCAUUUAAGAUGUGUCUCUUUGGGCUAAUUAUUUAGCUCAGUGGUGCCGGACCUGCCUCACAAGUGCAAGGUCCUGAGUUCUAUCCCUGCUACCAAAAAUAAAUAAAUAAAUAAAAAUAAAUUGUGCCUCUUUUUUAAUAAUCAUUGGCAUAUUUUUCUAUAUAUGACUCACAAAUUUACACCCACAUUUGCUCUUCUCAGUGCAGUUUGUCACACUGGGUAAUUUAUCAGCUCUGUUUCUCUUUUUCUUAGUUACCUCUCUCCUGGAUCCCUCCAUCACCUGCUUUAGCCUGGACUGAUUGUAAGGCCUGUUGCUCUGUGGUCAUCCUGGGAUUGUGCUUUCCUAACAUCUUGGAAUCAUUUUUUGUGUUUCAGUGAUAGAAGCAAAGAACUAAAUUCAAGUGAUAUUUCAUAUUCUAUCUACAAUGUGAUAAAACUAAGAAAAUUUUGGGUCAGGGAUUUAACUCAGUGGCACUGCACCUACCUGGCAAGUGCGAGGUCCUGAGUUUGAUUCCCAGUACCAAAAAAAACUAAGAAAAUUUUAAUCAUCUGGAAAAGAUUAUUCAAAACAAUCCCUUUGGUUUAAUUCUCUAAAUUUUAGCUACUCACUUGAUAGGAGCCAUUGCAACUACCAAUAAAAGGCCUUACACUUAGAAAUGCA
ensembl:lncRNA